UUUCGGGUGACGCUCAGGCUGCAGCUCACCCGGGGAAUGGCGUGGGGCUCACCUCGAGCUGUCCCACCGCAGGCGGCUGGGCCGCCGGAGCUGGUGCAGUAACAAAAUAGCAGUCCGGCCAGGAUUUGCGGCCACCCACCGUGCUGCUGGAUGAUAAGGGAUGAGGUAGCAGCGGGAGCCGCCGUUAAAGCGUAAGAAAGCAGUGAACAGGUCCCCGUCUGCCCCCUCUGUAAUUCGGCAGUAGGAUGCCCAGGAUGCUUCCUUGGCAGAGUAGGGCCCUGGGCCGCGGAGGAGGGGUGCCUAAAUCCGAGGAAAGGUGGCUCCGGGAAGAGAGGCUUCUUGCAUCUAAGUGGCAAAAGUACAGAAGUGACGCUGAACUUUGCCGUUGGGUUAUUUUGUUGGUACUUGUCAACAAAAACAAAUAAAGCAAGUGUAAGUGAAGCCA